GUGUGCUGUGCAUGGGGGUCCCCUCAGGAUGCUGGCGAGAAGCAAGUCACUGGCUGAAAGUGCGGGGAGCAGCAGUAUCUACAGUGGGAGACGUGGUGCCACCAACUCCGUCCCACUCCCAGCCCCAUGGCUACUCAUCAUCUCCUAUCUGCAUCUGUGUGGCCACAAGGCUGUGCUGUAGCUUUUACUCCCCAGCCAUUUUUAUAGGAUCCCUUGUUACCUACCCCCUUCAUUAUCUGAUGGGAAAUGCUUAACAUGGCACUUAAGGAAAUGCCAUACAGAUCCACUGAGGUGUCAAAAACCCAUGGUGUUGCCAUGGGCUCUCCUAUUUCUGAUCCCGAAGCUCACGGACACAUCUAUCCCCAAGACCCUGGGGAAGGCAGCGGCCCAGGAUGGCUGGAACACUCCGCUUGCAUGUGGGAUGCCCUGGGCAAGUCAAUGACAGCCCUGUGCCAAGCUGGUCCUCUCUUGAUAACUGUUGGCUUGUUAUCUCCUUUGAGCUGUCUUUUCUUCCUUCUUUUACUGUCUUUCACUCCUCUUUUUUUCUUUCUUCUUCUGUUUAAAUGGGGACAUGAUUGCUAUUGCCCUACCUCUGUUAAGCAUUUCUCUUUUUAUUUCAAAUUUUGAUGCAUUUUCCCUCAAAGACACAUGCUGUUUUAAUCAGGAGCAAUCAGCCAUUAAAACCAGAUCAAUUAAAUAAAUUAGUUUACAUAUUUUUUCUGAUGAUCUGAAACAAACAGGAGAAAACUACAAUCUUGCAUAUAUAAUGCUGUUUGUCUGCAACAGACCACUGGAAAAUAUUGCUGAUCUGAGAAGAUGAUGCCACCUCAUCAUUAAUCUCUUGCUUGAAUAAUAAAAUAGCUGAUUGGAAUCUACUGCAUCCUUUGGAAAUCGAUAUUUUGGUCUCUUUUACCAUUUAUAUUGCAGUUAAGAGCUCUGCUCUGCAGUUUCUUAAAACUAUGGCAUGUGAAUGCAAUGUGCCCUUUGCUUGACUCCACUAACGAUGCACUUAAUUCUUAUUUUUCGCUCUGCUGCCGCUGCUGUUGUCCUUAACACCACUUGCCACCAUCAGGAGACAAGGACAAAGCCCUGUGGGACUGUGAUGCACUGUACAAAUUUGGAGUAAUGUCAACUCCUGCCAAUCCUAUUUCUAAGGCUUUAAAAAGUGUCGCAGUCAGUGCAACCCCAUCUAACUUCAGGGUUAGCAUAAAGUCACUGAAUAAAUGAUUAAAUGAUGCAACCUACAUAAAUUCUGCAACCUACACAAAUGAUGUCACCUGAUGUGAUGUCAUAAAUACCAUCAGUGAGUAAAUGAUGCCAUAUGAUAUCAAGUGAUGUCAUAAAUGAAGUUACUAGGUAAAUGGUUGUUGCUGUACUGAAAGAUGUACCUACAGUGACUGUGGUAGGAUGAAGAAGGUUAUUGACAUCUUAUUUAAGUUAGUUUAAUAUUAGUUCAUUAAUAAAGUAUUAGUGUGCUAAUAGUAAGUCUAUUACAUCUAAACAAAAUUAUAUCUUGAAACAAUCGAUUAUUUAUUAUUGAUCAAUGCCUCAUGAUUAUUAAACAUUGUGAUCUAUUA